AACGCUAGCUACAGGCUUAACACAUGCAAGUCGAGGGGCAGCAUUGGAGUAGCAAUACUUCAGAUGGCGACCGGCGCACGGGUGAGUAACACGUAUCCAACCUGCCGCUUACUCGGGGAUAGCCUUUCGAAAGAAAGAUUAAUACCCGAUGGUAUCUUAAGCGCACAUGCAAAUAAGAUUAAAGAUUUAUCGGUAAGCGAUGGGGAUGCGUUCCAUUAGAUAGUAGGCGGGGUAACGGCCCACCUAGUCGACGAUGGAUAGGGGUUCUGAGAGGAAGGUCCCCCACAUUGGAACUGAGACACGGUCCAAACUCCUACGGGAGGCAGCAGUGAGGAAUAUUGGUCAAUGGGCGCGAGCCUGAACCAGCCAAGUAGCGUGAAGGAUGAAGGUCCUACGGAUUGUAAACUUCUUUUAUAAGGGAAUAAAGUCACCUACGUGUAGGUGUUUGUAUGUACCUUAUGAAUAAGCAUCGGCUAACUCCGUGCCAGCAGCCGCGGUAAUACGGAGGAUGCGAGCGUUAUCCGGAUUUAUUGGGUUUAAAGGGAGCGUAGACGGGUCGUUAAGUCAGCUGUGAAAGUUUGAGGCUCAACCUUAAAAUUGCAGUUGAUACUGGCGUCCUUGAGUACGGUUGAGGCAGGCGGAAUUCGUGGUGUAGCGGUGAAAUGCAUAGAUAUCACGAAGAACUCCGAUUG
rnacentral:rRNA from 1 species